rnacentral:rRNA from 1 species
AGUACGUGAAACUGCUUAGAGUUUAAGCCUGAUGAACCUAAAUAUCCAUUAAUGGGAAAUUCAUCGCCAAUAUUUUAAUAUUUUAUUAAUAUUAGAAAAAUGGUGUGCAUUUUUUCCAUAAAGGACAUUGUAAUCGGUUAAUAAAUUAAAAGUUUAUGAAAAGAUUCAUAAUAAUAGUUUAUUCUAAUUAAAUUUAUUUUUUAAAUUUAAAAUUGAAUAAGUUUUAUGAAUUUAAUAAACUGUUGACCGAUUUAUUUGUAAUAAUGUAAAAAAGAUUUCUUUUAGAAAUUUUACAAUAAAUUAUUUUAUUGUAUACAUUUUUAUGAUUUACAAUGUUAUAAAUUUAGGAUACCUUCGGGACCCGUCUUGAAACACGGACCAAGGAGUCUAACAUAUGUGCAAGUCGUUGAGUAAUUUAAGUAAAACUCAAAGGCAUAAUUAACUUAACUGAUAUAUUUUAUAAUGGGAUUAAUUUAUAUAUAUUAUUUUUUUAUUUAUUAAAAGAAAAAUGUUGUAAAUUCAAUCCCAGGGCGUUCUAUAUAGUUAUGCAUAAUAAUAUUUUAUAUUAUUUAUGUCUCUAACUG